GUGAUGAAAUCAGAAUUGCAAUAAAUUUAGAUGCCUAGCAAGAAAGCGUUGUUGAGUUUUGUUGGAGUCUGAUAUUUCAGCUCUCAUAAACGUGAUAUAGUGUCUAAGGAAGCCACCAUGGUACCUCUAUCUAUUAUAGAUCAUAUAAACUAUUUUGCUUCUUAAAUAGAACAAUGAUCCUUCCAAUAUACUAAUAGAGAAUUACUAGUUAAGUACUAUAC
rnacentral:lncRNA from 1 species